rnacentral:rRNA from 1 species
AUUGAACGCUAGCGGCAUGCCUUACACAUGCAAGUCGAACGGCAGCACGGGGGCAACCUGGUGGCGAGUGGCGAACGGGUGAGUAAUGCAUCGGAACGUGCCCAUCGAUGGGGGAUAACUGCGCGAAAGCGUUGCUAAUACCGCAUACGACCUACGGGUGAAAGCAGGGGACCGCAAGGCCUUGCGUCGAUGGAGCGGCCGAUGCCGGAUUAGCUAGUUGGUGAGGUAAAGGCUCACCAAGGCGACGAUCCCGUAGCUGGUCUGAGAGGACGACCAGCCACACUGGGACUGAGACACGGCCCAGACUCCUACGGGAGGCAGCAGUGGGGAAUCUUGGACAAUGGGCGAAAGCCUGAUCCAGCAAUGCCGCGUGUGGGAAGAAGGCCCUCGGGUUGUAAACCACUUUUGGCGGGAAAGAAAUGGUCUGUGCUAAUACCACGGAUUGAUGACGGUACCCGCAGAAUAAGCACCGGCUAACUACGUG